ACUCCUACGGGAGGCAGCAGUGGGGAAUAUUGCACAAUGGGGAAACCCUGAUGCAGCCAUGCCGCGUGUGUGAAGAAGGCCUUCGGUUGUAAGACACUUUCAGUAGGGAGGAAGGUAGUGUAGUUAACACCUGCAUUAUUUUGACGUUACCUACAGAAGAAGCACCGGCUAACUCCGUGCCAGCAGCCGCGGUAAUACGGAGGGUGCGAGCGUUAAUCGGAAUUACUGGGCGUAAAGCGCAUGCAGGCGGCCUGUUAAGUCAGAUGUGAAAGCCCGGGGCUUAACCUCGGAAUUGCAUUUGAAACUGGCAGGCUAGAGUCUUGUAGAGGGGGUAGGAA
rnacentral:rRNA from 1 species